GACGAACGCUGGCGGCGUGCCUAACACAUGCAAGUCGAACGGGGUUGAGGAAGCUUGCUUCCUUAACUUAGUGGCGAACGGGUGAGUAACGCGUGAGGAACCUGCCUUUCAGUGGGGGACAACAGUUGGAAACGACUGCUAAUACCGCAUAACGUAUUUGGACCGCAUGAUCUGAAUACCAAAGCUUUAUGUGCUGAAAGAUGGCCUCGCGUCUGAUUAGCUAGUUGGUGGGGUAACGGCCCACCAAGGCGACGAUCAGUAGCCGGUCUGAGAGGAUGAACGGCCACAUUGGGACUGAGAUACGGCACAGACUACUACGGGAGGCAGCAGUGGGGAAUAUUGGGCAAUGGGGGAAACCCUGACCCAGCAACGCCGCGUGAAGGAAGAAGGCCUUCGGGUUGUAAACUUCUUUUAGCAGGGACGAAGAACGUGACGGUACCUGCAGAAAAAGCAACGGCUAACUACGUGCCAGCAGCCGCCGUAAGAC
rnacentral:rRNA from 1 species